rnacentral:rRNA from 1 species
UACGAAGGGGGCUAGCGUUGCUCGGAAUUACUGGGCGUAAAGGGCACGUAGGCGGCUUCUUAAGUCGGUGGUGAAAUCCUGGAGCUCAACUCCAGAACUGCCUUCGAUACUGGGAAGCUCGAGUCCGGGAGAGGUGAGUGGAACUGCGAGUGUAGAGGUGAAAUUCGUAGAUAUUCGCAAGAACACCAGUGGCGAAGGCGGCUCACUGGCCCGGUACUGACGCUGAGGUGCGAAAGCGUGGGGAGCAAACAGG